CGCUCUGCCGUCCAGGCUGAAGUGCAGUGGCAUGAUCUCGGCUCACUGCAACCUCUGCCUCCUGGGUUCAAGUGAUUCUUCUGCCUGAGCCUCCUGAGUAGCUGAGACUACUGCCGUCCUGGCCCUCACUGACCCAGCAGGUCCCCUGAGAAGUUGACAGGCAGCACGAUGCCUACGGAGAGGACGCCCACAACCACCAGCAGCCCGAUGAUAUGCCGCUGAAAGGACAGAGCUUGAAGAUGGUCCACUUACUUUAUCCUGAAGAUGGCUGUCAGCCAGGAACAGAAACCCUGGGGGAACAGACGGCUGUCAGCGGGAGUCCCCACCAGCCCACCAACCCGAACCUCUCUUCUCCCUCAAGUCCCACCCAUUCUCAUAAUUACCUCCAGGCAUAGCUUCCACACCCCUCACUAAAAAAAAUCCUUAUACCCUCAGAACUAGCUUAUACCCAAAAAGGGAGAGAGAGAGGGAAGGUCUCAGCCCUCAAAGAAAAAAGACCAACACUAAACAGGGUUAUCUGUGAAUCCUCA